rnacentral:lncRNA from 1 species
CGGGGAUGCCUCGGCUCGGAGCAGUCGGCCUCCUCCCUCCGCGAGCUGGACGCUCCGCAGCCCGCCCGCCAGCCGGCCCGCCGGCCGCCGCAGGAAUCCCUGGAUAAAGACCAGCUCAACCAUCGCUGAGAAAACAGACCUAGGCUUCCCAGGGCGGUUAACCCGCCGGCCUCUGGGCAGAGACUAAAAGACAAAACAAAAUAAAACAACAACAAAAAACUCCCAGUGUGUUUCCUACUCUUCUUUGUCUUGGAGGAAAGCAAAGGGAGAGAAAUGGACUUCACCAGUGGUCUUUGGCUUCAUCAAUUCACAGGAAAUGGCAUCAAGAUGGUUCAACUAAGACAUGAUCACUAAAAACAUUAUAAUAAUACCUUUUUGAAAAACUCAGUUUCUCCUGUUUACUAAAUAUUUAUUUCAUCAACAUGGGCUGCGUUCCACUGUGUCAGGAUUCUGCAUGUGGGUGGAGCACUGUUCCAGCCUGAGAAGAUGGUUCUGAGGCCACUUAGCAAGACAUUUUCCAGCAUGAGCAGGUUUCUCUGUGGAAAUAGUGACACCUGUUCUGGUGUGUUGUCUUUCCUCAGGGAACUUAAGGGGUACAAAGCUCCUGAAAAUGUUCUUUAUGCUGGUUGAAGCUCUUAUGUCGCUGUACUGAUUCCCUACGAUGCAGAUUUGAAUCACAGAGUAAUUAAAAUAUGGAUCAAAUAAGGCUGGGGCUCACCAAGGCUGAAAGCUGUAGCCAUUCAAGGCAUCAUUUCUGUCAUGAAAAUAUAGGACCUUUUCAAAACAUGCCUUCAGGAAGGUGUUCUCUUUUCAAACAAAAGUCUAAUGACUGCAUAACUCUUCUUGACCACAUCUUACACUUUCUCUAGACUUGCUUAUUUACAGCUACUGGAACAAAAAGAUGAAAUGAAUAAAGCACACUGAUUGUCCUAAGAGUCUUCUGUGACUAAAAGCACAUGAGCUUCUCCCCAGGCUGAGCUUUGACCCUCCCAAGCAUUUCCCCAAAGGCCAUGACACUGCAUCAGAUUGCUCCUGGACACUUUCCUCAGAGUUUUCAACAAAUAUAAACUGAGGAGUGGAGCACAGCACCAGAUUUGCUAAUCAAGAGGCAAUGGUCCCAGUCCAAAUGGGUGCUGUGUGUGAAUACAGAGCCCAGGAGAAGGGAAGGAGGUCUGUGAACAUCAGGAAUUGCAAAAUCUUGCUGAACCAAUAGACCAACAGCCAUUAACAUUUGUCAAUGCAAAGAUCCUAAAAUAUACAAGUGUGGAGUUGUCCUGCCCUAAGAGCUGAAGCUGUGACAAUCACGCUGCCAUGGUAGAUAUUUAAGCUCCCCUGAGGUUACUGAAUCUAACAAUGAAUAAACAAUGAAGAGUAGCUAAUUUUUGGAAAUCUCUUUCUAUGACCGGAAAAUAUUCACAAACUCAGAGUGAUUGUUUGGGGUGAAAGAUGGUCCCAUGCCUUGUGGGCCUCUCUUUGCUAUCUAUACAACGUUGGAAAUGAACCCCUCCCUUACAGGAAAGUGAACAGCAACCAAGGAUCAAUAUUUCCAGCAAAGGAGUCCACACUCAAGAUACACUGCUACGUCUCACUUUUUCCUUGACACAACAAUUUAUUUUAUAAAUGCAUCUGCUGGAGAAGAAAAGGCAGUACCAAGGAUUGUGUCUUUUAUCUCCAGGAUAUGCAAAGCGCAUUUAUUUUCAGCUUUUAUCUCUGGAAUUGUAUGUUGAUCCCAUACAUAUAGAUUGAUUUUGUUCAGGUAGAUAAUGAAAAGUCAAGUGGAAAAUUACACAAUGGCAUUCACGAUCCUAGUCUUAUAUCAGUAUAUAAAUUGGUUUAUUAUUUCAUUCUAUUAAAGAGGCUUUUUUUUGGUACCAGGAAAACUUCAAAAUGCAUUGUGUUGUCAGCCUCACUGAAUUUUCUUUUGGAGGAGGAGGUAGGGAGGGGAAGCCAAAGCCCCGAUUUCUCCUGCUCCUUUUGCUAAUUGUAUUGGCUAAAUGAGCUUUCACAGAGGGGGGUCCUGGCUGCUUUUUGCUCUCCCCCAGACCACUUGUAGGUUGCACACAGGGCUUCUAUAACUCUUUCUGAGUCAGGACAAAGAUAUCCGCCGUGCACACCCUGUGACAUAGGUGGAUAUUUAUUUCAUCCCGGGCAAUUCUAAAUUUUGUCAUGAUGACUGAAAGAGGCAAUCCCCUCCUGAGCAUUAAGAGGCCAGGGGUGAGAGGGUGGCAGCAUAGAAAAGCCACCACCCAGAGACAGCUUGGAGCCAUGAUCCUGGAGGAAAUGUUAUUAAUAAACAUCUUUUGGACAUUUGGUAGCCCGUGGAGCUUGCUCCAGCUUAAAGCAAUUAAUUCAGGACACUGACAUAAACUCUCCAGAUCUUUGACAGCUUGGAGCCGAAAUAAAAAUGCUAGUUCUCCGGGGAAGAGAAGAGGAUGGCUAGCCCUUUUCUGGACUGUUUGCUUAUAGGCCCAGAGAGCAACCUUCCUUGCAGAAUGAAAUG